CCCUGGCGGGGGGACGGUGGGGAUGGAACGCGAGGGGCGAGCCUGGAGGCUCUCCGCGGCCUUCUCCAGGGAGGCGACGGGAGGGAAGGAGGCAGCGCUCGGCCGUCGCCCCUCGGAGCUCCCAGGAUUGGAAAGGAAGGGAGGGGACCUGGGGCCUCUUCCCGCCCCCUCACCUGCUCGACAUCUGUGGUCACAGAAACAUUUGUAGAAUCAUUAAAGUUGGAAAGACCAAAUUUUCAGAGAAAAGGCAAUGGAGCUUAAUACUGAGAAAGGAGCGAGCUCCGAAGAGUGGUUGUUUCCUUUGAUGUUCUAAUGCACAACAGAGAGGUGAGGGCAUAUAUGAAUGCAGCUAACAUUGUGUAACCAGAAGAUCUCUCAAACAAAUCAUCACCUUCCUGUGUGGAAAUUAGAAGCUUUCAUGAGUAGUGUGCUCUAGUUGAUCCUGCUUUGAGCAGGAAGGUCUGGUGAGAAGAAUUUUGACAAAACAUUUUUCAUCAGAAACUGUUGAGUUGGUAAAACCAAAGCUUUUCACAGAAAUAUCUCUUUUUAAUAAAAAUUUCAUAAUAA